AUAACACCACCAAGUUAUCAAUUCUCAAUUUGUUACCUGAGCCAGCUUCCCCAAGACCCUACUGUUUGAAUUUUCUCCAAAAUCUAAUCCUUAUUUCUAAAUUCCCCAAUCCCCAAACCUAGCAUGCCCUCAUUAAGAAGACUGACACUUCAGAAAGCCUCCGAUGAGUGUGCGACACCUCCUCGACCUUUUGUGCAUGACAUCUUUUCUGGUGUUUGUGACCAAACUAACAUUUAUCAUUUUCUCAUACUUAAGCUUAAUUAGUGUCCUCUUUUAUAUUUCUUGGAUUGUAAUUGGAGCUACAUUUAUAAUUGAAUGGCAUUCAGACAAGAAAGCUUCCUGGAUGAACACUGCAAGUUAUCUUGAACGCCAACUCGAAAUAAAAUUUCAAUUCUAAGGUCUAUUUGUCUCCUACCUAGCCGAGUGAUAAAAGAGUUUAUAUUAUAUCUCAG
rnacentral:lncRNA from 1 species